rnacentral:rRNA from 1 species
UACGUAGGGUGCAAGCGUUUAAUCGGAAUUACUGGGCGUAAAGCGUGCGCAGGCGGUUCUAUAAGACAGAUGUGAAAUCCCCGGGCUCAACCUGGGAACUGCAUUUGUGACUGUAGAGCUGGAGUGCGGCAGAGGGGGAUGGAAUUCCGCGUGUAGCAGUGAAAUGCGUAGAUAUCGGGAGGAACACCAGUGGCGAAGGCGAUCACCUGGGGUUGUUCUGACGCUGAGGAGCGAAAGCUAGGGGAGCAAACGGGG